rnacentral:rRNA from 1 species
AGAGUUUGAUCAUGGCUCAGGAUGAACGCUAGCUACAGGCUUAACACAUGCAAGUCGAGGGGAAACGACAUCGAAAGCUUGCUUUUGAUGGGCGUCGACCGGCGCACGGGUGAGUAACGCGUAUCCAACCUGCCCACCACUUGGGGAUAACCUUGCGAAAGUAAGACUAAUACCCAAUGACGUCUCUAGAAGACAUCUGAAGGAGAUUAAAGAUUUAUCGGUGAUGGAUGGGGAUGCGUCUGAUUAGCUUGGUUGGCGGGGUAACGGCCCACCAAGGCGACGAUCAGUAGGGGUUCUGAGAGGAACGGUCCCCCANAUUGGAACUGAGACACGGUCCAAACUCCUACGGGAGGCA